CAGCGCAAGUGACUGGCUGGCCCCAGGCAGCAAAGAUCCCAGCACUCCUGAAGCAGAUCACACACCCUGCUGCUGUGCAUACCUUUCCCUGCUCUCACCCACGUGAGGGGCUGUCUUGGUCACGAUACAUAUGGAAUUCUUACUGUUGAGAGAACUCCAGCUAAGUAAGGGUUUCCAACAAGAAUUCUGGAAAGACCAUUUCUUCAAACACUACAGGAAGGAAGUUCUUCCUCUGAGUGCCUUGUCCUGGUUUAAAUAUGGUGGACCAUGACACUCAAUCUCUCAACUGAGUGCUUGAACUAGAGUAUCCAUGAAUGGUGUAUAUCACCUCAAUCUUAAUAAAAGUUAAAAA